rnacentral:rRNA from 1 species
GUCCACGCUGUAAACGAUGAGAACUAGCUGUUUGUACUGUAGCGGUAUGAGUGGCGCAGCUAACGCGAUAAGUUUUCCGCCUGGGGAGUACGGCCGCAAGGCUAAAACUCAAAGGAAUUGACGGGGGCCCGCACAAGCGGUGGAGCAUGUGGUUUAAUUCGAUGCAACGCGAAAAACCUUACCUACCCUUGCAUACCGAGAAGCUUGUAGAGAUAUGAGUGUGCCUUCGGGAACUCGGAUACAGGUGCUGCAUGGCU